AGUCUUAUAUUCAUUUAUGAUAUAAAAUUGCAAAUUUUAAGGUGUAAUUAUAAAUUACUAAGGCUU
rnacentral:tRNA from 2 species